CAAUCUUUAUAGAAGCUGACUGCCAGGCCUUUCUUCUGUGAAGGCACCGGGUAGGUUCGAACCACCAACCCCUAGGUUAGUAGUCAAGCCCUUGAUAAACAGUAAAAAACUUUUUUUCUGUGGUCUUUCCUUCUAGAAUCCACACAGACUACCCCACUUGCAUUAGCAGGCUUGCUUAGAGUUGACUGGGCUUUAGAAUUCUUAGCUACAACCUGAUUACACAUGGAAGUUUUCCAUUUCUUACAGCAUUUCUAAAGGUUAUAAAAAAUUAGCUAAAGAUAAUAAUAAAACAGCUAAUGUAACCCAUAAUGCGCUAGUUAGAGAACUCAUUCUCUUCAUUAUAUACACUACAGUUUAAAAAACAAAAGCACCAAACCUGUUGCCAUCGAGUCAAUUCCGACUCAUAGCAACCCUAUAGGACAAAGCAGAACUCUCCCAUAGUUUCCAAGGAGUGCCUGGUGGAUUCGAACUGCCGACCUCUUGGUUAGCAGCCUUAGCACUUAACCACUACACCACCAGCGUUUUCAUACACUACAGUACCCACUAUGAAACAAGAAUCACACCACACUCAUUUUCAAGAUUUUUAUUUUAUAGGAUUGUAACUGAGCCAGUGUGAUGGAAGAGUUGGUUCAUUGCAUUUUAGCAUGGGCACUCACCUAUCAAUUACUUUUAUCCAACUGUUUUGCUGCCUCACGCAAAUUCAUCACGCCCACUCAUCAGGUAUCUGUAAUCCAUUCAAUUCUCUAGUUUAAAAUUUAAGUUUUUCUGAUUCCUUUGGUCUUUAAAUUAUCACUUUUUGCUUUAUAGCUAGCAAGAAAGCAAGCACCUAGCAGGUGGGAUACAGCAAAUUGCUUCGGCAUUACUGAGCUGCAGUAGCGUCAACAAGGAAACGUGAAGUAGUAGAUCCUCCCAGCUGGAGUUUCUGUGAUUGCUUAAAACAUCAUUGUUCUGGACAUCCUAGAUACUCUGCAUUUUCAUAUAAAUUUUAGAAUCAUCUUGUCAAGCACUACAAAAGCCUACUGGGAUUUUGAUUGGGAUUUGUACUGAAUCUAUAGAUUAAUUUGGGGAAAACUGCUAUUUUAGCAAUGUUAAGUUAUCUGACUCAUGAACAUGGUAUAUCUCUCCAUUUAUUUAGGACUUUAAAAUUUUUCUCAGUAAUGCCAUGUUUUGUAGUUUUAACUGUAGAGGUCUUGCGCAUCUUUUGGCAAAAUUUCCUUUAUUAUUUUAUAUUUUUGAUGCUAUUGUAAAUAGUAUUUUUAAAUAAGAUUUCAAGUUCUGAUUGUUCAUUACUACUUUGUAGAAAUACAAGUGAUUUUUAUAUACUGACCUUGUAUCCCACAAUUCUG